GCCCCGAUGGUGGAGAUGGCAGACACGACGGAUUCAAAAUCCGUUGCCGAAAGGCGUGAGGGUUCGAGUCCCUCUCGGGGCA
rnacentral:tRNA from 1 species